GACGAACGCUGGCGGCGUGCUUAACACAUGCAAGUCGAACGAAGAGCGAUGGAAGCUUGCUUCUAUCAAUCUUAGUGGCGAACGGGUGAGUAACGCGUAAUCAACCUGCCCUUCAGAGGGGGACAACAGUUGGAAACGACUGCUAAUACCGCAUACGAUCUAAUCUCGGCAUCGAGGAUAGCUGAAAGGAGGCCUCUACAUGUAAGCUAUCACUGAAGGAGGGGAUUGCGUCUGAUUAGCUAGUUGGAGGGGUAACGGCCCACCAAGGCGAUGAUCAGUAGCCGGUCUGAGAGGAUGAACGGCCACAUUGGGACUGAGACACGGCCCAGACUCCUACGGGAGGCAGCAGUGGGGAAUCUUCCGCAAUGGACGAAAGUCUGACGGAGCAACGCCGCGUGAGUGAUGACGGCCUUCGGGUUGUAAAGCUCUGUUAAUCGGGACGAAAGGCCUUCUUGCGAAUAGUGAGAAGGAUUGACGGUACCGGAAUAGAAAGCCACGGCUAACUACGUG
rnacentral:rRNA from 1 species